UUAAUAGAAGCCAAAAAGCGGCAUAUUAUUGUUAAUAAUAUCAUUGAAUUUUAUAAUUCCUGUUAAG
rnacentral:tRNA from 1 species